GGAGAGAUGUCCGAGCUGGCCGAAGGAGCGCGACUGGAAAUCGCGUGUACCGCUUAAAAGCGGUACCGAGGGUUCGAAUCCCUCUCUCUCCGCCA
rnacentral:tRNA from 1 species